UACGAAGGGGGCCAGCGUUGUUCGGAAUUACUGGGCGUAAAGGGCGCGUAGGCGGCGUGUCAAGUCAGGCGUGAAAGCCCCGGGCUCAACCUGGGAACCGCGCUUGAGACUGGCAUGCUCGAGUUCGGGAGAGGAUGGUGGAAUUCCCAGUGUAGAGGUGAAAUUCGUAGAUAUUGGGAAGAACACCGAUGGCGAAGGCAGCCAUCUGGACCGACACUGACGCUGAGGCGCGAAAGCGUGGGGAGCAAACAGG
rnacentral:rRNA from 1 species